rnacentral:pre_miRNA from 1 species
CAAAUACUCCAUUCGUCUGGAAAUACUUGUCAUCAAAAUGGAUGAAAGGAAAUGUAUCUAGAUGUAUUUUAGUUUUAGUUACAUCUCUUUUUAUCCAUUUUGAUGACAAGUAUUUUCGGACGGAGGGAGUAGAAA